rnacentral:rRNA from 1 species
AUACGGAGGGUGCAAGCGUUGUUCGGAAUUACUGGGCGUAAAGCGCGCGUAGGCGGUCUGUUAUGUCAGAUGUGAAAGUCCUCGGCUCAACCGGGGAAGUGCAUUUGAAACUGGCAGACUUGAGUACUGGAGGGGGUGGUGGAAUUCCCGGUGUAGAGGUGAAAUUCGUAGAUAUCGGGAGGAAUACCGGUGGCGAAGGCGACCACCUGGCCAGAUACUGACGCUGAGGUGCGAAAGCGUGGGGAGCAAACAGUAUUAGAUACCCGAGUAGUCC